rnacentral:ncRNA from 1 species
AGCUAGGGGAGCCUUCGGGCUGAGAAAAUAUUGAUUUGACCCUUGUACCUGAUGCGGGUAAUGCCGUCGUAGGAAAGC